rnacentral:rRNA from 1 species
AUUGAACGCUGGCGGCAGGCCUAACACAUGCAAGUCGAGCGGAUGAGAGGAGCUUGCUUCUCGAUUCAGCGGCGGACGGGUGAGUAAUGCCUAGGAAUCUGCCUGAUAGUGGGGGACAACGUUUCGAAAGGAACGCUAAUACCGCAUACGUCCUACGGGAGAAAGCAGGGGACCUUCGGGCCUUGCGCUACCAGAUGAGCCUAGGUCGGAUUAGCUAGUUGGUGAGGUAAUGGCUCACCAAGGCGACGAUCCGUAACUGGUCUGAGAGGAUGAUCAGUCACACUGGAACUGAGACACGGGCCAGACUCCUACGGGAGGCAGCAGUGGGGAAUAUUGGACAAUGGGCGAAAGCCUGAUCCAGCCAUGCCGCGUGUGUGAAGAAGGUCUUCGGAUUGUAAAGCACUUUAAGUUGGGAGGAAGGGUUGUAGAUUAAUACUCUGCAAUUUUGACGUUACCGACAGAAUAAGCACCGGCUAACUCUGUGCCAGCCGCCGCGGUAAUAC